GGUCUCAAUCAGUCUUAACUAACUGGAGCUGGAACUGAGUGCAGCUGCCUCCAAGUCUCUGAAAGCAACCCGGGCAAACAUCUUGUUGAGGCUGCGUGAUGAUUGGAGGAUGUGCAGGUUUUUGCAAGUAAGGAGGCUCCAACACCCCGAGGGCCCCCGUGAGCUGUAGAAGUUUGCCCAAUUCCUUCUGUUCUCUGUGGAGAAGUUGCCAGUGGGCCUCAGAAGUUCUUUGGGAUGAAGAAACUCGUGUUACAGAAGAGUGAGGAUGGAAUUCUGUGAUGAUCCUGCCCUUAAAGGACUAUUUAUUAAGGAAGAAGACCUGCCAGUGGAAUUGGAAAAAGAGCAAUUGGAAGGGGGAGGAGAGACCAUCGUCAUGUACGAAACGGUCAGGGUGAAAAUAAUUACAGGCAGCGGA